rnacentral:rRNA from 1 species
ACCGGCAGCUCAAGUGGUGGCCAUUUUUAUUGGGCCUAAAGCGUUCGUAGCCGGUUUGAUAAGUCUCUGGUGAAAUCCCGCAGCUUAACUGUGAGACUUGCUGGAGAUACUAUUAGACUUGAGGUCGGGAGAGGUUAGGGUUCCUCCCAGGUUAGGAGUGAAAUCCUAUAAUCUUGGGAGGAACACCUGUGGCGAAGGCGACUAACUGGACCGACCCUGACUGUGAGUCACGAAAGCCAGCGGCGCCAACCG